rfam:Camelus ferus unplaced genomic scaffold scaffold1713, whole genome shotgun sequence.
GAGGAUAUAGCUCAGUGGUGGAGUGUGUGCCUAGCAUACAUGAGGUCCUGGGUUUUAUCCCCAGUACCUCCA